AACGAACGCUGGCGGCAUGCCUAACACAUGCAAGUCGAACGGGAUCCUAGCUUGCUAGGUGAGAGUGGCGGACGGGUGAGUAACACGUGGGAAUCUGCCUUUUGGUUCGGGAUAACCGCGGGAAACUGCGGCUAAUACCGAAUGCCCUCGAGAGAGGAAAGAUUUAUCGCCAGAAGAGGAGCCCGCGUCCGAUUAGGUAGUUGGUGGGGUAAAGGCCUACCAAGCCGACGAUCGGUAGCUGGUCUGAGAGGAUGAUCAGCCACACUGGGACUGAGAUACGGCCCAGACUCCUACGGGAGGCAGCAGUGGGGAAUAUUGGACAAUGGGCGCAAGCCUGAUCCAGCCAUGCCGCGUGCAGGAUGACGGUCCUAUGGAUUGUAAACUGCUUUUGUACAGGAAGAACACUGGUUCGUGAACCAGCUUGACGGUACUGUAAGAAUAAGGAUCGGCUAACUCCGUGCCAGCAGCCGCGGUAAU
rnacentral:rRNA from 1 species